UAAUUAUUUUGUUCAUACUUAGAAAGCUUAAUCAAAUAAUCUUUCCUAAUAAUUAUCUAAAAUAACUUUUAAAAUGCAACAAAAGCCACCAUUUUGCUAACUAAUUUAUUAAAACACUACAUAGUUUAAUUCUGUAGAGCACUGUCAACUGAAGUCUUGCACCUUUCUGUUAGUCUGUUCAUAAUUUUGCUUUCAGGAUGACUCUAAAGUGUCAGUGCUGAAUGCUUUAGAAUCAGAAACAGCUUACAGAAAAGGAAAGGACCAGAAGACUAAGCCUUUGAUGCAAAUAAUUAAGCUUGAAGAUGAUGGGAAUCUUGAGAGACUUCUUUCUUUUGCACCAGAGUCGGCACCAAAGUUGGUUUCAAUUGAGAAAGAUGAACGUAUUGUGAACAUGGCUAUUGUUUGUGAUGGUACACAUAUUUACUAGAGACAGCCGAUUCAAAAGAGGCCAUAGCUGUGUUGAUUGGUUUGUUUUACCUUGCAGACCUAGAUUAUCCAAAGGCAUAUUCACAGGUGCGUGGGUUACUUCAGCAAACUGAACUUCAGCAGCAGUUUGAUGGGCAUAAGAGCUAUGGAUUUGUUCAAUAUUUAAAGACAGUGAACACGGAGAUGGAGAGGAAAGAAAAGAAGCCAGUGUGACUUAAGUGAUCCAGCUAUCAUAAAAGGAAAAAUUGAACUUUACUUUCAUUUGGAUAAUUAUCAGUUUACACUUGCUCAGAAUAUGUUUUACUAUUCAGCACUGAGAAAAGUCAAGCACGCUGUCUUACAUACAGCUCAUGUUGGACUUGGGUUAAUAUUAUAGCACUUUGGUUAAUAUUAUAGCAAUGUUGGAAAUUUGUGUGCAAUUUCAAGUACUUUCAUAGUUUAUUGUAGGAAUGGCAACAAAUACUGAUUUUGGUAUUCGAAUAUUUGUAUAGAGCAUUCAAAUGUAAUCCAAUAUUUGAAUAUUCGUAUAAAAAUUUUAUGCAUCCAAAUUUGUAUUAUGUCCAUUACCAAUGCACUAUGAUCAAUAAGUUUUCCUGUUGAAUUGGGAAUUUUUAUUCUCUUUUUUUGAGAGUCGUUAAUGAUGCCUUAAUAUGUAACUAUUCACAAUCUUCAUCAUGGGUAUUUUUUAAGAACUGAUUUCUUAAGUUAGAUGUGAUAUUUGCCAGCUGAAGGCAUUAUUGAGGGGUGAACAUCUCAUCAUUUUUAAUGACUAGCAAAUCCAUAAUUGUUUUAUUAUGUUUUGUUACAAAGAUAAAUUGUUUCAUUAACUGUAGUUUUUUUCGGGUUUGCAAGUAAAGUAAAAGUUACUAAGUUCAUACUUUUUUAUUAUAUUUAUUUAUUUUAUGUUUAUCGCAGACUGUACUUAAUGCUUUUAUAUAAAGCGAAUGAUUUUAACCAAUAGAAAUCUGGCUAUUUUUAGUACAAAUUAAUAAUUUCAUACUUCUUGCAACAGAUGUUUGAUGAUGUCAUGAUUUUUAGCUUGAUUAUUUAAA